rnacentral:rRNA from 1 species
UACGUAGGGUGCAAGCAUUAUCCGGAGUGACUGGGCGUAAAGAGUUGCGUAGGUGGUUUGUUAAGUAGGUAGUGAAAUCUGGCGGCUCAACCGUACAGGCUAUUACCUAAACUGGCAAACUCGAGAAUGGUAGAGGUAACUGGAAUUUCUUGUGUAGGAGUGAAAUCCGUAGAUAUAAGAAGGAACACCAAUGGCGUAGGCAGGUUACUGGACCAUUUCUGACACUGAGGCACGAAAGCGUGGGGAGCGAACGGG